AAAAAGACAAACCCUGAGUUUCCGUGUCCAACGUUUGACUAUCCGUAUUAUAUGAAAUUUUUUUAUAAUUAGUAUUUUCAUUGUUGUUACAUGAUAAAAUAUUAUUAAUACUUUAUGCGUGACUUAUCUUUUUAAUUUUUUUCAUAAUUUUUUUUAAAUAAGACGGACGGUCAAACAUUGGAUACGGAAACUCAGGGUUUAUCUUUUU
rfam:Oryza glaberrima chromosome 5 Oglab05_0015_5, whole genome shotgun sequence.